rnacentral:rRNA from 1 species
AUUGAACGCUGGCGGCAUGCUUUACACAUGCAAGUCGAACGGUAACAGGCCGCAAGGUGCUGACGAGUGGCGAACGGGUGAGUAAUGCAUCGGAACGUGCCCAGUCGUGGGGGAUAACGCAGCGAAAGUUGCGCUAAUACCGCAUACGAUCUAUGGAUGAAAGCGGGGGACCGUAAGGCCUCGCGCGAUUGGAGCGGCCGAUGUCAGCUUAGGUAGUUGGUGGGGUAAAGGCUCACCAAGCCGACGAUCUGUAGCUGGUCUGAGAGGACGACCAGCCACACUGGGACUGAGACACGGCCCAGACUCCUACGGGAGGCAGCAGUGGGGAAUUUUGGACAAUGGGCGCAAGCCUGAUCCAGCAAUGCCGCGUGCAGGAAGAAGGCCUUCGGGUUGUAAACUGCUUUUGUACGGAACGAAACGGUCCUGGUUAAUACCCGGGGCUAAUGACGGUACCGUAAGAAUAAGCACCGGCUAACUACGUGCCAGCAGCCGCGGUAAAAC